GGACCUUCUUGUUCACGAAAACGUGGGGGAAAGUCAAUAACGUACACUGGGCGUACCCGGCCCUUAAGACAAUCAAUUCUCAGGCAAGAACGAGCCUUCCGUAGGUGAACCUGCGGAAGGAUCAUUA
rnacentral:rRNA from 1 species